CUGGGAUUUCUCCUGCCUAUUCUGCAUGCAUACUCCAGAGAUUUGAUGGAAUUGUGCCUGAUGAGACCUGACUUUUUGUAAUACAGUGAAGCUCUUCAUGGAGAAUGUAACAGGCAGGAUGCCCAGGAAGUGUCCUUCUGGAGCACAUCCAAAAAUGAAUGGUCUGAACAACCUUAAAUGGCCUUUCAGGAGUUGACUCAACGCCCAGUGGAAAGAUCUGAAUGGCUUUCAACAGUGCUUAACCACAAGGUCCAAAUGAUCAGCACAUGCGGAAGGAGAGGAAGGAAAGACCCCAAUCUGUCUCAAGCCUGCAGGCAUCCAAGUGUGGAAAGUAUGACAUCAGAAUUCUGAUACAAUUCCAUAUGGGCUUUCUUUACAGUACCAGCAGGGUAAUUUACCGAGGAAAGGCCAGCAUAAUUUCAGAUUUUACACCCAUUUCUUUAUAGUUCACCUCAUGGUUUUCUUGGACAUUGUGGUCUGUUAUCAUCAAACAACUUGUUUUCCUCUGCUGUCUGAGUGCCAGUGGUUCCCUUGACAACAUUUGCUGUAAUAAUUUUUGCCGGCCAGUUUUUGUAGAACUGAUGACUUCAAUUACUCUCCUCAUAUCAACACAGAGGUGAGAUCUGAUCAUCUGCCUCUUUUUGGGGGAUGACUUAUGUGAAUUAUUUUGUUUUGUUUUAAACUUCAGAGACCAACCAAACAAGGCACAUAAAAGGAAGCAAUUCAAGUGAGACUGCAAAUGACUCAGUGGAUUGCAAACUGGCCAUUUAAGCCAAGAUGUCCUCUCUUCCCCUUUCACCACAGUGCGCAUUCUGUUGCCAGAUUCACGCAGAAGCAGAUGACAUACAAUGUUACUGAAAAUGGAGUGGGGCAUCUGCCACAUUUUUGGUCAAGGAUCUACAAACUGUUACCUUCAGUCCUUCGAAUCUCCCCAGACCAUCCUCCCUUCCACAACCAAAAGAGAAAUA